GACGAAUGAUGUACAUUCUCACGAUGGUCUUCCAAGCCCCAAUGGUGGGCUUUGACGAGAGUGUCCAAGAGGACCUUACUGAAGUCAGCUC